rnacentral:tRNA from 2 species
GCGGACGUGGUGGAAUUGGCAGACACGCCAGGUUUAGGUCCUGGUGCCCGGAAGGGUGUGGGGGUUCAAGUCCCCCCGUCCGCA